CUCACUUGGUAGCCCAGGCUGGCCUCGAACUCACAGAGAUCCGCCUGGCUCUGCCUCCCGAGUGCUGGGAUUAAAGGCGUGCGCCACCACCGCCCAGCUCAACAAGGUAGACUUUUAAAGAUGUUAAAUGAUUAUGGAAACAUUUAGGACUAUUUGCCAGGUACUUACUGUUUUGUGUGUUUAAGUUCUCAAAAUAACCAACCAUAUUAAGGUUUUUUUGUUUUUUUUUAAAGUGGUACUAGGGAGUGGACCCAUGGUCUCAUGAUAAGCAAGUAUUUACAUUAAGUCACAUCCCCAGUCCAAAAAUACAUAUUUUAGUUCAUUCCAUGGAAUAAAAAUUGAGACACGUUGGCGAUUAAGUAAAAAGGCUGGAAAGUGAUGUUGGUGAAUCCAGAAUUUAACCCAAGUAGUGUAACUUCAAUUAUAUGAAGAAUUGUAUGUAUUAUGUGUAUAGGUACGUAGAGGUGGAGGGCUGUGUGUACCACAGUUCACACAAGUCAGUUUUCCCUUUGACCAUGUGGGUCCCAGGAUGGAACUCGGUAACCUUUAUCCAUUGAACCAUCUCACCGACCCUACCUUCAGAGAUUCACACUUAACCUUUUGUCUUUUUUGAUGUGUAAUGUACAUGUUUGUAUGUGCAUGUGGAGGCCAGAGGACACCCUUGGGAGCUAUUCCUUAAGACCUGCCUUUUUUUUUGAAAGCCCUACUGGCUUGGCUCUUGCCUGGUAGGCUAGACUAGCAGGCUAGCAAGCCCCGCCUCUGUUCUCCUGGACUUAUAAGCAUGCACUACCAUGCUGCUUUUUUUCUACUUGGGUUCUUGGCAGGGUAUUGAACUUAGAUCCUCUUGGCAAACCCUUCAGUAAUCUCCCAGUCUAUAUCUUUUUUUUAUCCUUGUCUCUUCCAUAUUUAAAAUUCUAAGUAUUCCAGAGCAAGAUAGCCUCUCUCGGAGGAGCUGAUUUGUAGAAAACCAGAUAUGGCUUACAGGAGAAAAUGUCAGGUUUGGAGUCAGUUCAAUAGCCAAGUUCACAGUAGGUGACAUUGAACUGUUCAGCAAUCAGCUUCCCAGUAUCUUGGUGAGGUGUAAACAGUACCAUUUCAGUUCUGCAUAUGGAGAAACUGAGCAGUUGAUAUAGGUCAAAUCGCAUAGGUGGAAAUACAUGCAAGUCAAGCGAGACUUACUAGAGGCAUAAUCCUUGAGCACUCGGCACUGCUCUUAGUUUGAAGAGCGCCACAUUUGGUGAUUUUAUUUUUAAGAAAAUCAAUUCACCUGAAAGCAUUGGACCAAAGGAAUUUAGAUUUCUCAUGUAGUGUCAUUAAAGCUCUGAUACUUACUGGGCUGUCCAGAUCGACAGGUGAGUUCCUUUUGAAAUAGGGUCUUGUAUGUUCCAGGGUGGUCUGGAACUCCCGAGUGCGGGGAUUAUGGGCAUGCGUCAUCACAUUCAGCUAAAACUUCAGAUGACUUUAUGGCUUCACAUUAAAAAGUCAAAAUUAAACAGUGGGUAAAUGUUGGGUUUCGCUAGGAGUGAGCUGACCCAAGGGGAAAGACCAGGAGUAGAAAAGAAAGAUGGAGUAACUCAGGUUGUAUAUACAUAGUAUAACUUUUUAUGUGUUGUAAUCUUUGGGAGGUCAACAGCAGGAAAAUGAAGUAUGUACCAACAACUAGAAAUUCCCAAAUCCCUGGCUGCCCUAGAGUGAAUCUGCCUACUAUACACCUCUUCUCUCUGAAAAGUUUUGUUUUUGCAACUGUAAGCUGGCUACUUUCAAAAGUUUUAGGUUAAACCGUGAGCUGCUAGGUCUAGUAGUACACGCCUUUAAUCCCAGCAUUUGGGAGGCAGACACAGGUGGAUCUCUGAGUUCGAGGCCAGCCUGGUCUAUAGAGGGAGUUCUGGGACAGCCAGGACUCUGGAGAGACCCUGUCUCAAAAAACCAAGUUUCUUGUUUGUUCCAACAAUAAAGAAAUAGACUGACCAUCUAUGCAAUUAAAGGACAACCCACGACAAAUGACACUGUGAUUUGUAUUCCACUCAGACUCCAGCAGUGGUGCUUCUGACAAACCCUUGGAAGAGGAGUGGUCUGGAUGUGUACAAACCUUGGCUCGGACCAUAAUAAAAGAAAGUAUUUAAUGGCUUUUAUGAUUCGAAACAUAGUUUUACCUUUUAUUUUUACAAUACAGUGUGCAGUAUGACAUCUCAAGAUAACGAGUGGAGGACAAGACAGUCCUAAGGGAGGUCAACAACGAAUGUCAGAGUGAUUACCUUCAUGAAGGAGAAAUCCCUGGUUAAUAUUUUACACAUUCACAAAAAUUACAUUCAAAUCAUUCCUUGUCAAUAUUUACUCCUUAGGCCACGAGAGAAGGAAAACAAUCCAUACACUAGAUUUUCAUAGAAAAAAAAUCUGGACCAGUCUAAAUACUAAUGUCCUAUUUGUUCUUACAUUGGAAAAUUUAAAUGUUUGGGUUUCCCAAGGACAUGUCAUUAGCUGAUACUAUCUACUUUUGUUUCUGAGACAGGGUCUCAUGUGGCUGAUGGUAACCGUGAGCUGCUGAUCCUUCUGCUUUCACUCUCCCAAGCGCUGGGACUACAGCCAUGAACCCCCAUGCUGGGUUUCUGUAGUGGCUGGGGAUCUAGCCAGGGCUUUGUGCAUGUUAGGCAAAACUCGAUCAACUGCCAACCACAAUACAGUUUCCAAUCAACCACAGAGGGAUGGGAAAUCGAAUUGGCCUUAAUACCGUACAAUUAUAUGUAUAACAAAGCUUUUUUUUUGUGUGUGUUUUUUUUUUUUUUUUUUUUAGCAUAGCUUAACUUUUCAUUGUUUAGGGACUAUGUUGAGCAUUAGUACAUUCAUAAUCACUAGGAUUUAGAAAAGUUCAGGACAUAUACUAUCCAUCUGUGGAUAUGAGUAAAGAGAACUACAGGAUCUCACUGACCUUGAAAAUCACAGUCUAAAAGGAGGCAUGGUGGCAUGGCACGUGCCUAAGUAUAGGCUCUGCCGGUGAAGGUCCUGUGUUUGAGUCUUGAUAGCACAUGGCCCCACUGUCCCCAGUGGCACUGACACUACUUAAAACUUGACUCAAAUCCAACAAUAUUUUUUGUCUUUUCUUUCUUUCCUUUUGGAGAUAGAGUCUCAUGUAGCUCAGGCCAGCCUUGAACUCUAGAUCUUCCUGCCAGGGUUACAGGUGUGCACCAAGUCUCAGUCAGUAUUUUCAGUCAGUAUGCAGAUCACAAAGCUCUACUGACCACUGACUACCCUUUCAUUCCUGAGGAGAAAACACAGUGGAAAACUGAAAAGAUUUCAUCUUUGAAGUGCUGAGUAUCAAUUGACCUUCAAUGCUGACAAGGAUGUGGACUUUGCAUUUUUCCUGCUGUAAACUGGAAGUGUUCAGAUUUGAAACUGUACAGCAUUCCUUCCUUCAACCCAAGAAUGUUCCUUUAUUCCUAAGGAAAAUCAUUUAAAAAAUAUUUCUAAAUAGACACACUUGCCAGCCAACCACAAAAGGCAUGCAAAAACUGAAUAUAAAAAGACAUCACAAGCUCUAAUUUGUUCCAAUAAGAUUAUCUAGAAGAGAAAUCAGACACACAGACGGCACAGACAGACAUCAACAACUGCUGGUGCUGAGUGACAAUUCAGUAUCAUUCCAGUGUUUAGCUUUGGGAACAUGAACUGCUGUAGCAAAAUAAAAUCAAGACAUUCACAUUGUCACACAUCACACUUUGCUUAUAGGCUUGAGAAGACUACAAGUUAACUGUCCAUGCAGAUUUGUAGACACUGCAUUUUAAAGCUGUAGCUGUAGAAACAGUACAAAAAUCCUAUUAGCGUCAUUUAAGAUUUAGCAAGCUGUUGUAUACCGGUCACAAGGCAGACCUUGUUAGGACAAAAACUUGUCUGUACAUGCUUAAAUAAACUUUCCUCCAAUGUCCUUUUCUAAAAUGCUCGAUAACUUUUUAAGUCUUCCAUCUGAUCUCAAAGUUAGUUGUCAUGGUAUUCCCUCAGUGUAUAAAAGUGUAUUCCAAUGCUGAAGGCAGCUAUUUAUUAGUCCAUUAAAUAUUAGUAUACAGUACAGCAGAUUUCCAGUUUGAUACUUACAUACAUAGCACAGUCAUAGGUAAAAUUCUGAACUCUGAUAUAAAAAUGCAGAAACUGUCAAAUGUAUUAUAUCUUUCCAUGGAAAUAAAAAACUAUUUCCAUCACAAGGAAGAAACUUCAAUGGUCAACACAGUUUAUACGAAUUCUUGUAUCAGAGAAAGGAAUCAAGGCUAUCAAAUCACCACAAUUUACUAAAAGAAUUUAGAAAAUUCUAUCUUAAAAAAUGUCAGCAUCUUUUGUAUACUUUUAACUACACUAGAGGCUACUGAGUGUGCAUUUUCAUCCACAAAGUCCGGACUAAAAAGUUGGUUCUUCUCUUUUUAUUUUUGUUUUUUUGAGACAGGGUUUCUCUGUGUAGCCUUGGCUGUCCUGGAACUCACUCUGUAGACCAGGUUGGCCUUGAAAUCAGAGAUCCGCCUGCCUCUGCCUCCUGAGUGCUGGGAUUUAAAAGCAUGCCCUGCCAUGUCCAGCAAUGUUGGUACUUCUGAUGGAAUGUUUUUUUUUAGAAUGAUAAGACAUAAAAUUAACUUUAAAAGUUACUACAAACUAAAGCGGCAUUUUUUUCUUUUUAAGAGAAAUAUUUCUGAUGACUAAAUCAGUCGUUUAAGAAAAUACUGUUAUCCCCAGUGCACAGAAGCACAGCCCCUUCUCCCAGUAAUCCCACAAAGUCAUUUAAGUGUUAAAUAAUGUUAAUAUCUGUUACUCUGUGAGACAUGGAGUAUUAUGUAUAUACUAUACCAGUUUUGUCAUUGACAUCUGACUGAGAAGCAGAGUCAGGAAGGUGAAAACAAAAGGUUUCACCAGGAUAAAUCAGAAAUGCUCUGAAGAAAGUUUCCAUUUUAAAUCUCCAAACAAGCCAAGGAUCCCUAAAGCCAUGCACAGGAAGUAAGAGUGUUGUGUACAAACUGCCUAAGGGACCUUUCUCACUAGUUUAAGAGAUCUACAAAUGGGUCAGCUGCUUAUUCUGCCUCCCUCUACCUUAUCUCAGCAUUGAAGCCAUCUUCCUGUUGGUGGUUUGCCAAAUAAAGUUCACCAUGAUGACACAGAAUAGAAUAGCUGUUUCCUUCACCUUAGCCAAGUAGAUGGCACCCACUGAGGUUCAGUGUCCAGUUUGUUAAUGAGCCUAAGCAGUUCCUGAUAGGCUUUAUCAAGAUCUGAAUUCACAAUCGCAGUGUCAAAGUAGUGGCCAUUGUUCUGUUCCAUCUCCCUAGUCUUCUCAAUGAUCUCCCUUAACUCUUCAGGCUGCAAAGAAAAAAAGGAAGACAGUGAGGGAGGUUACACAGAAUACACAGUGAGUCAGGAGUGUCACUAUAUGGCUUCCUCUGUCUGUGGCAGACCCCAGAGCUCCUUCCCGACCCUUCUCUUGGAUCACCUUGGCAUCAGUAUCUCCAGAAUUGUGUUUGAAUCCUGGCUUAUAGCACUUUCGUUUUCAUUUAUUUCCAUUUCAUCUUUAUGUCUGAAGAACACGGGCAAUUACUUUGAAUUCCCUAAAAACUUUCAUUUUCAAACAUUUCAGAGCAUAAUAACCUUUAUCUAAAAGUAACAUUGUGGGCUGGAGAGAUGGCUCAGCAGUUAAAACACUACUUUUCUUACAGAGGACCCAGGUUCGGUUCCCAACACUCACAUGACAGAGUUCACAACCAUCGGUAACCUCUGACUGUUGCGAAAAGGGGAAGUGCUGUGGAUAUCACCCUAUAUAAAUAAAACACUGAUGGCCAGUGACCAGACAGGAAGUAUAGGCGGGACAAGGAGAGAGGAGAACUGGGGAAACAGGAAGAAGGAGAGACACUGCAGCCACCGACAGGACAAGCAGCAUGUAGAAGCCGAUCAUGUUCAAAAACGAAGAGAAGAAAAACCAAAACAAAGCUCGGGUAAAAAGAAGACAAUUCUGGAACCCUGAAAAUGUGGACUAGCUAAGGAGAAAAGUGGGUGAUUGCCAAGGGUUUGCUGAGACCUUUGAACGGGGAGGAAGCAGCAAUAUGAUCCCCUUGGAAAUGUCAGACCUUUCUCGAGAGUACACAAGUUUUAAGGGGUUCUGGAGGCUCUCAUAGAUCUGGGGUUAGCAGAAGGGAUAGGGGAGACAGGAGCAGCCCUCUGAUUUGGACAGCUGCCAUGGUCCAGAGGGCUGCAGCUGCAGCAGUUUCGGGGCAAGUGAUAUAGAAAGAAUAAUCAGCUUGAUAGCUGAUGCUGAUACAGCUUCUCAACUCCAGGAGGAAAGACGAGGGAGAUUUCCUGCUUGACGUCAGUGGACUGAUAGAGCACUGUGACAAGUUUACCUUUGGAUUCUUGCCUUCUUUGGCUAACAAUGCCCGAAGUCUUUCUUGUGAAGGUGGUGCAAUGAAGAUGAUAUAUGGUUUCAAAUCCGAAUUCCGGAGGGUCUUCAAAGACUGUAAAGAUAUUUGGGUUUUAGAAAUAACUCCCAUCAUGGAACUACUUCUCAAUAAUAUAUAUUGUUAAGAUGUCUAUAAAUAUUUCCAAGCAUUUUACCAUAAAUCGUACCCGUAACAUUCUGAGAUAGUAUCUUCAUUCACUGUAAAAGUAUAAAUAUAAAUUCACAUAUAUUAUGUAAGCCUAGUGUUCUAUAUACUGAAAUAGAGGUAAAAGACAUUGAAGGGAUUACAACUGUAUAAUAAAUCACGUGGAUUAUAAUAACCAUAUUAAAAUUCAUUUUUGAGGAAUCAGAAUCCGGGCAGUUGCCUUUCUAGGUGAAGCAAAACCAGAGAGAAAAACUUCCUAUACACAGGCCAAAGAGACCCAGGACAAGACAGAUUGUUUGCAGUCAGACACGGGACUCACACUGUCCUAUCACUGCACUGCUGGGCACGUCAAGUUGAGUACUCUAACCAGCAGUAUUAGACAGACACGCCCUUUCUUAUGUGAAGAAGCAUUAACAUGCUCAACUAUUUUAAGUCUUAUGGUAAUAUCUGUUAAUCCAAAUAAAGAAUUCUAAAAGAAA